rnacentral:pre_miRNA from 1 species
CUUGUACUCCCUCCGUCCGAAAAUACUUGUAAUUGAAAUGGAUGUAUCUAGAUGUAUUUUAGUUCUAGACACAUCCAUUUUGAUGAUAAGUAAUUCUGGACGGAGGGAGUACUUG